rnacentral:rRNA from 1 species
GAUGAACGCUGGCGGCGUGCCUAAUACAUGCAAGUCGAGCGAACGGACGAGAAGCUUGCUUCUCUGAUGUUAGCGGCGGACGGGUGAGUAACACGUGGAUAACCUACCUAUAAGACUGGGAUAACUUCGGGAAACCGGAGCUAAUACCGGAUAAUAUUUUGAACCGCAUGGGUCAAAAGUGAAAGACGGUCUUGCUGUCACUUAUAGAGGGAUACGCGCUGCAUUAGCUAGUUGGUAAGGUAACGGCUUACCAAGGCAACGAUGCAUAGCCGACCUGAGAGGGUGAUCGGCCACCCUGGAACUGAGACACGGUCCAGACUCCUACGGGAGGCAGCAGUAGGGAAUCUUCCGCAAUGGGCGAAAGCCUGACGGAGCAGCGCCGCGUGAGUGAUGAAGGUCUUCGGAUCGUAAAACUCUGUUAUUAGGGAAGAACAUAUGUGUAAGUAACUGUGCACAUCUUGACGGUACCUAAUCAGAAAGCCACGGCUAACUACGUG